CCAAAGCUUCAAAUUAUCAUCCAUAAAAUGGAAAUUCAUUAUCUUAUAAAUAUUUAUUGAGGGACCACUUUGUGUCCAGCCCAGGCUAGGUGCUGGGAUCUGCCUCUAGACAAAACAGACAAAAUCCCUCUUAAAUGUAGCUGGCACUCAGGUAUUAACAAACAUUAAAAAUUAAACAGCAGAUACAUCAGAUGGAGAAAAACUGAGCAGGGUGAGAGCAGAGUGAACGGGGCAAGAAGCCAUUUUGAUAUUGUCGGGGACACCAUCCUGGAGAAGUCUCCCCGGCUGGCAGAUGGUUGACAUGACAACCUGGGAGAAGAGAUCCCAAAGAAGAGAAGAGAACCUGGCUCAGAGACUGAUGCUACCAAGAUCCACUCGAAUGAACAGAGCCACCUCAGGUACUGCCCGGUGGGAAGGACAGCCCUUGGGUUCCUAGGCCUCAUCAGGUCUGGACUCUGCUGGGUUCCGCUGCACUCAGAGUAUCAAGGUUGCAGGCCCGAGUUGCUACUGCUCCCUUUGUCCUCAGGCUGGGGUCCAGAGCAGGAGCAGUGCUGCUGAGGAUUGCCAGCUGCUCUGUCCUGGUUUCAUCUACAAUUCACUUGGAGGAGGAGAUCAGAGCCUGCCAGACUGCCCCAGUCAGCUCCCAUCACCCAAAGCUUGGCCUGUGCAUUUUCAAAGAGCACAGAUCCUGUCACUUUCCCCAGGCCUUGGAAAGUUUGCAUUAUAAUUCUGAUAGAAGGAAAACUAAAGCAAGGGCUUUGGAAUGUCUGAGCACUGUGCUAACAAACAAAUGACUCCACAUGCAAUAGACAUGGACCUGGCACUGCCAAGGAGCUUUCCUGGUUGCGCCCUUUCCUCAUCAUUGCUGGUGGCAGGAGGAUGAUGGAGUCCACUUGGCUGGCUUGAAGUGGAGCCACUCAGCAAUCUCCAUCCUUACUCUUUAUUAUUUGGCCCUAUUUACUGCUGGGCUCUACUAACCCCAUGUGUUCCUGAAUUCUUAUUGCACCCUGGACAUUGGUGUCUCUUGGGUGUUUUUCUUGGAACCAUGAUUUCAUUCCGAACAUGAGUUAGGUGUGACAGCUCAGGGGUCAGCAUGUCACCAUUAUAGUGUGCAUGGGCUCCUAAUUUCAACAACAUCUUUUAUUCCUGAGAGUGCCCCUCAGGCACUCGGUCAUGACUUGUGAUAGUUCACAGAUUACAUUGUCAGCCAAAUAUUUUAGGGUUCAAUCCUUUGUGUUUAUAACUAAUAACCAGUAGUGUUCUCUAUUUAGCACUAAAAAGUACUUUCACUAAUUGCAUGCAAAUCCGUGACAUACAAUAUCCUCAAUAAUGGCCACUAUCCAGCACUACUAUGUGCCAGAUAUGGUUGCGAAUGUUUUGCAUAUUAACUUGCUUUCUUCUCAGAACAAUCCUAUUUGAUAGAUAUUGUUGUAAUCAUUCCCAUUUACAAACAAGAAAACAGAUGCAACACAUCUAAUCAGAGGUGGGCAGGAUAUAAACCCAGACAAUCUUAGUCUGAGUCUCAGCUGGAAAACCCUAUACUUCAACUUUUAUGUAAAACAGUAAAGAUGAUUAGAGUGCCUCAUUCUUAAAUCUUAAUUUCUCCAAUCUACACAUUGUCUCAUUGCCCAUCUAUGCCCCUCCCCCUUCUCUCAAUUGUAUUAAUUAGCAUUAAAGGUCAUUAAUAUUUAUGGAACACCUACUGUGUGUCAGGCAACAUGACAAAUAAAAUAAAACAUCCAAUAUUUCAUUUAAUUUCCAUAAUCACUUCUUAGGAUACAAACUAUAAUUGUCCCUCAUUUUGCAGAAAAGAAAACUGAGGGCUGAUGAGGAAAAGUAAUUUCCCCAAAGUCUCACAGUUAGUGAAGUAGCCAAGCGAGGGGUCCAGUCUGGGCCUGCACAAACCUUACUGUUCCCCGAACUGUGGCUCUGCCUUUAGGGAACUUUUUUUUUCAGUACUGAGGAUUUAACCCAGGGCCUUCUCACUGUACUACAUUGCCAGCCCUUCUUUUAUUUUUAUUUUGUUUUCCUUCUUUUAUUUUUUAUUUUGAGACAGAAUCUCAUUAAGUUACUCAGUUGCCCAGUCUGGGCUUGAACAUGUGAAUCUCCUGCCUUAGCCUCACAGAGUGCUGGGAUUACAGGUGUGCACCACCACACCUGGCCCCUUUGGGAACUUUCUGAAUCAUACUUCAUCCCUGAUUGCUGAUCCUGCAGCUAUAAGACAACCUAUCUUUGGUCAA
ensembl:lncRNA